rnacentral:lncRNA from 1 species
CUUGCACGUAGCAGACUUUGUUUGAAUGUUCUUGUGCCAAGCUGUGUCGUGGCAACUGACAAGUUUUAUGGUCUUUUCUUCUUCUAUGCAGGAUGUCUGGAUAUUCAUUCAUCCAAUGAUGACAAUCCGAAUGAUAAAAGCUUAGGGGAAGAAAGUGACAUUGUGCCCGUCGUUGGAAUGAAGUUUAAAGAUGAAAAUGAGAUUUUUGAAUUUUACAAAAAUUACGCUUAUCGAGUCGGUUUUCCCGUAAGAAAAAGAAAUUCGAAGAAGGGUGAUGACGGGGUUCUACGUUAUGUAACUUUUACGUGUAGUCGAGAAGGCCAUCGAAUCAGUGCUUCAAGUUCUUCUCUAAAGCCUCGACCAACCAUCCAAACUGGGUGUAAAGCGAGAUUGGCAGCAAGUUCAGAAAUUUGUGGAACGUGGCGUAUUAACAGUGUCCAUCUCGAGCACAACCACAAAAUAAGCCCAUCCAAAUCUAGACUAUAUCGAUGCAAUCGCCAAAUUAGUGCACGCACGAAAAGACGGCUUGAAAUAAAUGACACUGCUGGUAUUCAAUCACACAAAAGUAAGGCUGGUAGAUCUGAAAAGAAGGUAUGCGUUGAAAAGGAUAGUGGAAAUUUCAUUGACAAAGUGCGGCAGUUAAAACUUGGUGAAGGAGACACUAUUGCAUUACAAGCAUAUUUUUCGAAGAUGCAAACAAGUAGUCCUGGUUUCUAUUUUAGUAUAGACUUGGAUGAAGAGGCCCGAUUGAGGAACGUGUUUUGGGCAGAUAACAGGUGUAGACAAGCGUAUAAGGAAUUUGGUGAUGUAGUUACAUUUGACACCACAUACUUGACUAACAAUUACGAUAUACCUUUCACUUUUUUUGUUGGGGUGAAUCAUCACGGACAAUCAAUAUUGCUUGGAUGUGGUUUGGUUUCGAAUGAGGAUGCAAUGACUUUUGUAUGGCUAUUUAAGACAUUGCUUGAGUGUAUGCAUGAUCAAGCUCCAAAUGGAAUAAUUACAGAUCAAGAUCGGGCUAUGCAAAAUGCAAUUGAAAUCGUUUUUCCAAACACAAAGCAUAGAUGGUGCUUAUGGUAUAUUUUAAAGAAAUUACCAGAAAAAAUUGGCAACCACAAUCAUAAAGGUUCUAUUCUUUCUGCUGUACAUGGGUUGGUGUACGAUACACAAACUUGUGAGGAAUUUGAACAAGGUUGGAACAAAAUGCUUGAAGAUUAUAAAUUGCAAGAACAUGGUUGGUUGACUGGAUUAUACAAUGAGAGAAGUCGAUGGGUACCAUGCUUUUUGAAAACAUCAUUUUGGGCUGGUAUGUCAACUACUCAACGAAGUGAGAGCAUGAAUGCUUUUUUUGACGGUUAUGUUCAUUCAAAAACAUCCCUAAAGCAAUUUGUAGAGCAAUAUGAGCGCGCAUUGAGAAGUAAAGUUGAAAAGGAGUUUCAUGCUGAUUUCAAAUCAUUUUCACAAAUGGUCCCAUGUGUAACGAGGUACGAAAUGGAGAAGCAAUUCCAAUCAGUGUAUACAAUCUCGAAGUUCAAGGAGUUUCAAGAAGAAUUUACCGGAAAGGUUUAUUGUGAAGUGUUAUCUGCUCAAGAUUCAUACUUGCAUACCAUUUAUGAGGUACGUGAGGAUAUCAUCUUCAAUGGUGGUAUGAAGAAAAAAAUAUUUAAAGUGUUAUUUCGUAGGGAUGAAUGCGAAUUUGAGUGCAGUUGUCACUUAUUUGAGUUUAGAGGAAUUAUUUGCAAGCAUGCUAUAUCGGUUUUAAUUCGUAAUGAUGUGGCAUUACUUCCUGAGAAGUAUAUAUUGAAGAGAUGGAGGAGAGAUGUGAAUAGACCCUAUACGAGGGUUCCGAUCAAUUACGAUGGUUGGAUUAGUACUCCCGAGCAGGUUAGAUAUGACCAAUUGUGCCUUGCGUUUACCAAGUUAGCUGAUUUGGUAGCACAUGAUGAAGAACGAUGCCAGGGCAUUAUGGAUUGGAUCGAUCUCCAAACAAUAGACUUAUCUAAACGUCAAAAUCCAUGAAGUAGAGGUUUUUUAGGCUUCAAUCAUUGAUAAAUUUUCAGGUUUUUUUCUUGAAUCAUUCAAGAUAGAAAAGAUAUUCUAGGUGUUUGAAGUUCAAACCUCUGAUUAAUGUAAGAGCGCUUGGGUUCAAGUCAUUUUGAACUGACUCAAACAGGAGCGGUGAAGUUUUGAGUUAAAGUUUGUGGGGGGGGGGGGGGGAAGUAUUGUUUUCUUUCUUGGAUAUAAAGAAGGAAAGAAAGAUUCUGUAAUGCCAGAGUUUGAGCUGUGUUCAAAUAGGAGCGGAUCAUUGCUCGGGCAGGGAGGCAACAAGGAUGAUCGGGAUUGGACUCAGCUUCAUAUUUGUGCUCGGAAAGGUGAUCUGGAGGAGGUAAAAUUUUGGCACCUCCGUGAGGUAUUCUACAUCUGUCUUUGAACUUCAUGUGUAAUACAACUUGUUUAGGUUCAGUUAGUGAUCUCUCUCUCUCUCUCUCUCUCUCUUUAUUAUUAUUAUUUUUUUCAUGACAGUAAUCUCAUUGUUCAGUGUAUAACUUUCUAUCAAGUAUAAAUAGGACUGUGAGAAAUCUUCACUUUUUAUGAUAUUAACAGGGGAAGAAUUAGAUGUCGUUUUGAUGCAAACCAAGAAACAUUUUUACCAACUUCUGGCUGUGGAACAUUAACUUAGAGGCAGUUCACUGCUGGUUUCCUUGAUACGAUUGGAGGAUCAAUAAAGUUAAAGAGACAUUCAAUAAAAUGGUCUUUUAACCACGUUUGUUUUAUGAUACCCGGGUGUGAGGCUGUUAUAGAACACAAUAGCCCCAUGAUCAAUGUAUUAAGAUGGACAUGUGGCAAUCUUAGAAUAGAUAAAAUAACAAAUAAUGCUAACAAGUGAAGAUGGCAACUAGCUCCAAUUUAGGACAAAAUUGAGGGAAUGAUCCAAGUGUUUGAGGUGUGUUUUGCAUGGACCUAAAGAACUCCCAUUUAUUAGAUCAAUGUGAUUCAAAUAUAACAAGUCAGAAGGAGGGAUACUUAAAAAUUAACAUGGCCUAGGUUAGACUAGGGAGAGCCAGAUCAAGUUCAAUUCUGACAUGCAUUUGUCCUUGCUGAGCUAGCUACCCUAACAACCAUUGGUUUUCAAAAGGGGAUAGUAGCUGUAGUCUUGGGUUAAAGAGAUUAUUCAAUAGGUUUUCUUCAUCCUUGUGAAAAUUAAGAUCAAAAUUGAAUGGAUGGAUGGAUUGUAACCGUAGUCAUUCGAUUGUAUGAUGAAAAUUGUGCAUUGAAGCAAAUAGGAGUGUAUUUGGCAUUAUCGGACGAUUCAUCCAACUUUGAGUGAGCACAAUGUAGAUACUGAACCAAACAUGAUGGGAAUAUAAUUGAAACAUGUGAGCGUGUGUAUGUGACUAUGAAAUCUUUUGAUAUCUUUUUAAUUAAUUAUAAUUGGUCCGUAUAUGAUAAAUGCUAGGUAUAAGAAGCCAACUUGAAUCGGCGAAGUUUGAGGAUUUGAAAUUUUGUUCAAGAUCUUGGAAUUUGUAGCUUUCUGCCCUCUCUUAUGAGUGACAAACGCAUGUUAAUAUCGAUUAGGAAGCAUUUGUUGAUCCCUUUUUACUUGUUUCAAUUCUCUCUUAUAUAGCAUUUAGAUGGCAGUUGGUAAGGGUGUGUUUUUAAGUUCUUUUAUUGUUGGACAAACCCUUCAAGAAAAUUGGCAAGGGUGUGUUGGGAUCAAGAAAAUUGGAUUUUGUGAGAAAAAUAUUGUUUGUUCUAUAUUACUUACUUGCAUUGUGAAGCAGGAAAUCCUCGUCAUUUCUAAUAUUUACUCUUCCUGUUGUCAAAUUGAACCUACCUCCUGAUCUUAGCUAAAACGGAAGCCUUGUCUCCACUUACAUUUUUGGCUAUGCUUAAAAUGUUUACUUAUAAG